rnacentral:rRNA from 1 species
GCUAACUACGUGCCAGCAGCCGCGGUAAUACGUAGGGUGCGAGCGUUAUCCGGAAUUAUUGGGCGUAAAGAGCUCGUAGGCGGUUUGUCACGUCUGCUGUGAAAGCCCAGGGCUUAACCCUGGGUUUGCAGUGGGUACGGGCAGGCUGGAGUGCAGUAGGGGAGACUGGAAUUCCUGGUGUAGCGGUGAAAUGCGCAGAUAUCAGGAGGAACACCGAUGGCGAAGGCAGGUCUCUGGGCUGUUACUGACGCUGAGGAGCGAAAGCAUGGGGAGCGAACAGGAUUAGAUACCCUUGUAGUC